rnacentral:rRNA from 1 species
AACGCUGGCGGCGUGCCUAAUACAUGCAAGUCGAACGGUCUUUCUAUGGAAGCUUGCUUCCACUGAGAAGAUAGUGGCGAACGGGUGAGUAACACGUGGGUAACCUGCCCAUAAGAGGGGGAUAACAUCCGGAAACGGGUGCUAAUACCGCAUAGUUUUCUUGAUCGCAUGAUCGGGAAAGGAAAGACGGCCUUUGUGCUGUCGCUUAUGGAUGGACCCGCGGCGUAUUAGUUAGUUGGUGAGGUAACGGCUCACCAAGACGAUGAUACGUAGCCGACCUGAGAGGGUGAUCGGCCACAUUGGGACUGAGACACGGCCCAAACUCCUACGGGAGGCAGCAGUAGGGAAUCUUCCGCAAUGGACGAAAGUCUGACGGAGCAACGCCGCGUGAGUGAAAGAAGGUUUUCGGAUCGUAAAACUCUGUUGUCAGAGAAGAACAAGUUGGAGAGUAACUGCUCCAGCCUUGACGGUAUCUGACCAGAAAGCCACGGCUAACUACGUGCCAGCCGCCGC